rnacentral:rRNA from 1 species
AGUGAACGCUGGCGGUAGGCCUAACACAUGCAAGUCGAACGGCAGCACAGUAAGAGCUUGCUCUUACGGGUGGCGAGUGGCGGACGGGUGAGGAAUACAUCGGAAUCUACUUUUUCGUGGGGGAUAACGUAGGGAAACUUACGCUAAUACCGCAUACGACCUACGGGUGAAAGCAGGGGAUCUUCGGACCUUGCGCGAUUGAAUGAGCCGAUGUCGGAUUAGCUAGUUGGCGGGGUAAAGGCCCACCAAGGCGACGAUCCGUAGCUGGUCUGAGAGGAUGAUCAGCCACACUGGAACUGAGACACGGUCCAGACUCCUACGGGAGGCAGCAGUGGGGAAUAUUGGACAAUGGGCGCAAGCCUGAUCCAGCCAUACCGCGUGGGUGAAGAAGGCCUUCGGGUUGUAAAGCCCUUUUGUUGGGAGAGAAAAGCAGCAGGUUAAUACCCCGCUGUUCUACGGUACCCAAAGAAUAAGCACCGGCUAACUUCGUG